AAGGCCUUAGCUUAUCGGUAGAGCGCCCCUAACAUGGGGAUGGCCGGGUUCGACUCCCGGAGGCCUACUA
rnacentral:tRNA from 1 species